GCGGUUCCUGCUGAUUUCUUGCUCGGAACUAGUUUUAUCAAAACGAUAAUAAAGAUUGGAAAUAAAGCCCUGAUCCAGGACUGGAUAGAAACUGCCUUUUAUCAGACUCAAUAGCUGAAGAAAAUUCGAUACAGGACCGGUCCUGGAGUAUUUUUAAUUUGAAAGUUUGUGAUUCUUUUGGCAAGGAACAGAUUUCAGAUGUGGAGUGUUUUAAGAUGUUUGCGAAGCGUGCAAGGUUAGCAGACUCUGUAAUCCAUAAAUCAUUAAGAACCUUUUCAUUAGAUGAAUGCAAAUUCAGAUGCCGGGAUGAUUAUCAUUGUACAGUUUUCUUCUUCACUCUUAGUUCAGAAAUAAAUUGUCAUAUUUCUGAAGCACCCAACAUUGACCAGUACAUAGAGAGGUAACAUAUACAUCGAGCAGUAC